ACCUCACAUAAACUAUAAAUUCUGCAUAAUGUUUCUCUCAGAUAGAGCAUAGAACAUAGAAUAACAGAGUUGGAAGGGACCUCAGAGGUCUUCUAGUCCAACCUCCCACUUGAAAAGAUCCUGCACAUGCGCAGAGGUGUUGCACACGAAUGAAGCGAGCGCGCAAGCGUGCACACUCCCAUUUGUGUACCAGUAGUGAAGGCAUGCAGUAAAUUUAGGAAAUGCAGGGGUUAAAAGGGAUGGAGAUUGGCGGUCAGAGGUUAAGAGAGUUUUAACUCCAGCAACUAAUUGGGGGCUGGAGCUCAAGAUGGCGAUGGAAUAAGGAAAAGGAAGAAGACACAGCAUAUCCACUCUGCAAUACAGAUUUCAAUCAAGCCUCUGAAGCCACAGAAAAUGGAUGAAUACACAAUAAUUAAGUGGACAACUUUAAGAACGCCUGCCUCCCACUGUCUGUGCAGCAGCUGUUAUGAUUAAGCAGCAUUGGCUUCCGACUCCUUUUGGUGCAGUAGAAUAAGCUAUCCUAUUGCUUCCUUGCUGUGCUGCCCCAAGAGGGAUUUGUACAUCAUCUGCCUGACACAGAAGCAUUCCAGGAUUGUUAGCAUAAUGCUGAUAGAGCAUAGAACAUAGAAUAACAGAGUUGGAAGGGACCUCAGAGGUCUUCUAGUCCAACCUCCCACUUGAAAAGAUCCUGCACAUGCGCAGAGGUGUUGCACACGAAUGAAGCGAGCGCGCAAGCGUGCACACUCCCAUUUGUGUACCAGUAGUGAAGGCAUGCAGUAAAUUUAGGAAAUGCAGGGGUUAAAAGGGAUGGAGAUUGGCGGUCAGAGGUUAAGAGAGUUUUAACUCCAGCAACUAAUUGGGGGCUGGAGCUCAAGAUGGCGAUGGGGAGAUAUAAUUCCGUGGAGUGGCGUCUCCAGGUGGAAAUAAGAAGCCAAGAGUUUACAGAAUUUUCUUCUUCCCUGAUAGAGAACGCCUGCCUCCCACUGUCUGUGCAGCAGCUGUUAUGAUUAAGCAGCAUUGGCUUCCGACUCCUUUUGGUGCAGUAGAAUAAGCUAUCCUAUUGCUUCCUUGCUGUGCUGCCCCAAGAGGGAUUUGUACAUCAUCUGCCUGACACAGAAGCAUUCCAGGAUUGUUAGCAUAAUGCUGGGACCUAUCGCAAGAGGUUGAUAUCCAGGUGACUUACCAGAUUCGGAAACUGGGAACAACCCAACUCAACAGCCAUUUUUAACUCUCCUUUUAAAAGCUGGUUUAUCUCCUUUCUGGCUAUGGAAGCAGCUCAUCUCAUCUAAUCUAUGCAAUGGAAAUGCCUAGGAGAGGAGGUUCCUUACAUACCCCAUGUGUGGAAAGAAAAACCAGCUUUCCUGCUGAUAGGCACAACUAAGUUUAUAGCAACAGACCUGGAAAAUGCCCAAAGAAGCCUGAAUGGGCACUCCAUAACAAUAGAUAUAUGGUUAGCCCCACAAUGAUUAUCUUUUAAUGCAGUAGACUUCAAUAGGAACCUAGAAGGAGAAACUUCCACUUUGGGAAUUGUUGGCCAUAAAACUAGAUGGAAAUGGACUUGGGUAGCCUUCAUCAACCAUGAUGCCUGCUUUUUUUUUCUCAUGCCUUUCGUGUGGACCACUGCAGAUGCUGACAAGACCAAUCAGCAUUUCAACUACAAGCGCACCAUAUAUUGUAUUCCACCUCCAGUGAAUACAGUCAACUUAUCUAUGCAGUGGACUGGGCGUAGCACUUGUGAGGUUUGGAUAAUGGGGAUGAAUGUAAUCCUUAUUUACAUUUACAUUUUUUUCUGAAAGAGUUUCCCGCUCCAUAGAACAGAGGGACCAGACAUAGAACAUGGUAAACGUGACAUAGAACAUGUUAAACUAAAUAGUCGAUGUUACACCACGAUCACCUAUUGAGUUAGAAGGAUACACAACCAAUGGAGUGAAUCCCUUUGUUGAGAGUUCCUGAAUAUAUCACGACCCUGUCUUGCUUGAUGCAUCUUAUUGCUCACUCACAAGAAUGAUUCAUGAAGAUGUAAAUGUCUGGAUGUUUACUCUUUUUUUUCCUGAUAUGGGUGACACUUAUUAUGUGUAUCGCAAGUCUCCCCACAUCACAAGCAAUUGGGUUGAUUUUUAAAGUCUGCUCUGAUACAAGGCAGACAAACUCUGAAGGAUAGUUCAUCUUAGAUGUGUGGGCCUGCAGUUUAUAAAGUGUUACUUCAUACCUGGUAUGGUGUGUGUACUCUGGGGACUUUUAUUUCCAGGAGUACGGGUAUAUGCAUAUACAUAUGCAUAUUCUCAGCUUUUAGGAUGACAUCCCAACUUCCAUUAUUGCAUUAAGGGAAAUACCUCUUCCAUUCUGUGUUGUGUUGGUAUUUGCCUAGUUUAGGGUUGCUGAAUUAGACUUGUCCUUCUCCAUAUUUCUGCAUCAUUUCAAAUCUAUCCCCAUGUUGUAGCCAGUGCCACUAGGAUUUAAUUGCAUUCAGUGCAUUAGGAUUUAAUGCACUAGGAUUUAAAUGCAUUUAAUUGCAUUAAAUGGAAAUACCCCUUCCAUUCUGUGUUGUGUUGGUAUUUGCCUAGUUUAGGGUUGCUGAAUUAGCACUUGUCCUUCUCCAUAUUUCUGCAUCAUUCCAAAUCUAUCCCCAUGUUAUAGCCAGUGCCACUAGAAGACUACAAACUGAAGUUUAGUUCCAUACCCCAUGUGUGGAAAGAAAACCCAGUUGGGCGGAUAGGCACAACUAAGUGUUAUAGGAACAGACCUGGAAAAUGUCCAAAGAAUGGACACUCCAUACGAAUAGAUAUAUGGUUAGCCCCACAAUGAUUAUCUUUUAAUUCAGUAAACUUCAAUGGGAACCUAUAUGGAGAAACUUCCACUUUGGGAAUAGUUGGCCAUAACACUGAAAACUAUAUGGAAAUGGACUUGGAUAGCCUUCAUCAACCACAACGCCUACUUUUUUUUUCUCAUGCCUUUCUUGUGGAUCACCACGGAUGCUGAAAAGACCGAUCAGCAUUUUAACUACAUGUUUACCAUCACUGCACUGCCAUAUAUGUAUUCAACCUCCAGUGAAUACUUGCAGAAAACUGAGGGUGAAUUGCGUGGCCAGAAAAAUGGCUGUGGGUGCCACUUCUGGAACACAUGCCAUAGGUUCGCAUCGCGGACCUAUUGAGUUAGAAGGAUACACAUCCUAUGGAGUGCCUCCCUUUUUUGCGAGUUCCUUAAUAUUUAACGACCCUGCCUUUCUUCAUGUAUCUUAUUGCUCACUCACUGGAAUGACUCAUGAAGAUGUAAAUGUCUGGAUGUUUACUCUUUUUUUCUUGAUAUGGGUAACACUUACUGUCUGUACUGCAAGUCUCCCCAGAUCACAAGCAAUUGGGUUGAUUUUUAAAAUCUACUACGCUGCAAGGCAGACAAACUCUGAAGGAUAGUUCAUCUUAGAUGUGUGGGCCUGCUAUUUAUAAAGUGUUACUUCAUACAUGGUAUGGUGUGUGUACUCUCUUGAGUUUUUUCCCUUGUAUUUUCAUUGAUGUGUUAACUGUAAGAGGGACUGAAAGUCGAUGAUUUGGGUUCCCACUUUGAAUGAGAGAAAUUCUUUUUAGUCAGGACAUUCUAAAUAAAUCAUAAUUAAAUGAU